rnacentral:lncRNA from 1 species
UUAGGUUGUAUUUGAUGGACCGGAAAAAUUUUAGGCGAUCCGGCCACGGGGGUCCCGGGACCACUCAGAAGGCGUGGGCUAUAGCACACGAAAAUAUGGGAAUCGCGCGGAAUUCGAGUUGUUUGGCCGAAAAAUGCAAAAAAUGAGGAACGAUCAUGGCGGGGCGGUCACUAUGGUUCCUUAGGUCGUAUUUGAUGGCAUGGAAAAAUAUUAGGCGAUCGGGGUCCGGGGGUCUCGGGACCACUUUGAAGGCGUGGGCUAUAGCACACAAAAAUAUUGGAAUCAGGUGGAAUUCUAUUUUUUUGGCCGAAAAAUGCAAAACAUGAGGAAGGAUCAUGGCGAGACGAUGACUAUGGUUCCUUAGGUCCUAUUUGAUGGCGCGAAAAAAUUUUAGGCGAUCCGAGUCCGGGGGGCUCGGACCACUCGGAAGGUGUGGGCUAUAGCACACAAAAAUAUGGGAAUCCGGCGAAAUUCUAGUUUUUUGGCAGUAAAAUGCAAAAACUGAGGACCGAUCAUGGCGGGGCGGUGACUAUGCUUCCUUAGGUCGUAUUUGAUGGCCCGGAAAAAUUUUACGCGAUCGGAGUCUGGGGGUCCCGGGACCACUUGGAAGGCGUGUGCUAUAGCACACGAAAAUAUGGGAAUCACGCGAAAUUCUAGUUGUUUUGGCCGAAAAAACGCAAAAAAAUGAGGAAC